rnacentral:tRNA from 1 species
UCUCUGGUGGCUCAGACGGUAAAGCAUCUGCCUGCAAUCGCAAUGCAGGAGGCCUGGGUUCAAUCCCAGGUCAGGAAG